rnacentral:rRNA from 1 species
CAGCCGCCGCGGUAAUACGUAGGUGGCAAGCGUUGUCCGGAAUUAUUGGGCGUAAAGGGCGCGUAGGCGGUUUGACAAGUCUGAUGUGAAAUCUCUGGGCUCAACCCAGAGUCUGCAUCGGAAACUGUCGAGCUUGAGUAUGGGAGAGGUGAGUGGAAUUUCCGGUGUAGCGGUGAAAUGCGUAGAUAUCGGAAGGAACACCUGUGGCGAAAGCGGCUCACUGGACCAUUACUGACGCUGAGGCGCGAAAGCUAGGGGAGCAAACAGGAUUAGAUACCCCUGUAGUCCCUGUCUCUUAUAU